rnacentral:rRNA from 1 species
UGGGGAAUAUUGGACAAUGGGCGCAAGCCUGAUCCAGCCAUGCCGCGUGAGUGAUGAAGGCCUUAGGGUUGUAAAGCUCUUUCGGCGGGGACGAUAAUGACGGUACCCGCAGAAGAAGCCCCGGCUAACUUCGUGCCAGCAGCCGCGGUAAUACGAAGGGGGCUAGCGUUGCUCGGAAUCACUGGGCGUAAAGGGCGCGUAGGCGGACAUUUAAGUCGGGGGUGAAAGCCCAGGGCUCAACCCUGGAAUUGCCUCCGAUACUGGGUGUCUCGAGACCGGAAGAGGUGAGUGGAACUGCGAGUGUAGAGGUGAAAUUCGUAGAUAUUCGCAAGAACACCAGUGGCGAAGGCGGCUCACUGGUCCGGUUCUGACGCUGAGGCGCNAAAGCGUGGGGNGCAAACAGGAUUAGAUACCCUGGUAGUCCACGCCGUAAACGAUGGAUGCUAGCCGUUGGCAGGCUUGCCUGUCAGUGGCGCAGCUAACGCUUUAAGCAUCCGCCUGGGGAGUACGGCCGCAAGGUU